AUAAGAGGUCCCGCCUGCCCAGUGACACCCAGUUCAACGGCCGCGGUAUUUUGACCGUGCAAAGGUAGCGUAAUCACUUGUCUUUUAAAUGAAGACCUGUAUGAAUGGCAUAACGAGGGCUUAACUGUCUCCUCUUUCAAGUCAAUGAAAUUGAUCUCCCCGUGCAGAAGCGGGGAUACUGACAUAAGACGAGAAGACCCUAUGGAGCUUGAGACGGUAGGACACCCCAUGUUAAGCACCCACGCCCCCCCCACUGGGGGCGUGGGUAAAACUAAAUGGCCUCUGCUCUAGUGUCUUCGGUUGGGGCGACCCUGGGGAAUACAAAACCCCCACGUGGAACAGGAGCACCCAUCCCAAUUACUCCUCCAAAAUAGAGCCACACCUCAAACUAACAGAAUUUUUGACCAAAAUGAUCCGGCAAUGCCGAUCAACGGACCAAGUUACCCUAGGGAUAACAGCGCAAUCCCCUUUUAGAGCCCAUAUCGACAAGGGGGUUUACGACCUCGAUGUUGGAUCAGGACAUCCUAAUGGUGCAGCCGCUAUUAAGGGUUCGUUUGUUCAACGAUUAAAGUCC
rnacentral:rRNA from 1 species